rnacentral:rRNA from 1 species
CCUACGGGUGGCUGCAGUAAGGGAUCUUGGUCAAUGGGCGAAAGCCUGAACCAGCAACGCCGCGUGAGGGAAGACGGUUUUCGGAUCGUAAACCUCUGUUCUUUGUGAAGAUGAUGACGGUAGCUGACGAGGAAGCUCCGGCUAACUACGUGCCAGCAGCCGCGGUCAUACGUAGGGCGCGAGCGUUGUCCGGAUUUACUGGGUGUAAAGGGUGCGUAGGCGGCUUGGCAAGUCAGUAGUGAAAUCCAUGGGCUUAACCCAUGAACUGCAAUUGAAACUGUCGAGCUUGAGUGAAGUAGAGGUAGGCGGAAUUCCCGGUGUAGCGGUGAAAUGCGUAGAGAUCGGGAGGAACACCAGUGGCGAAGGCGGCCUACUGGUCUUUAACUGACGCUGAGGCACGAAAGCGUGGGUAGCAAACAGGAUUAGAUACCCUAGUAGUC